rnacentral:misc_RNA from 1 species
GUGAAUCAUCGAAUUUUUGAACGCAAAUUGCACUCUCUUCGGAGAGUAUGCCUGUUUGAGGGUCAGCCUAAAAAAAUCGACAUAGUCGCUGUUUCGCGGUGACAUUCGUCGGAAAUUGGGUCAUCUUAAACCUCUGGGUUUUAGCCGCCUAAAAAUUUUCUUUCGAUUUCAACAACGUUUUCAAGAUUUUCCUUCUAUA